CCUACGGGAGACAGCAGUGGGGAAUAUUGCACAAUGGGGGAAACCCUGAUGCAGCAACGCCGCGUGGGUGAAGGAGCGUUUCGGCGCGUAAAGCCCUGUCAGCGGGGAAGAAGAAAGCCGGUACCCGACCAAGAAGCCCCGGCUCACUACGUGCCAGCAGCCGCGGUAAUACGUAGGGGGCGAGCGUUAUCCGGAAUUACUGGGUGUAAAGGGAGCGUAGACGGCGAGGUAAGCCUGAAGUGGAAGCCCGCGGCCCAACCGCGGAACUGCUUUGGGAACUGUUUUGCUGGAGUAGGGGAGGGGUAAGCGGAAUUCCUGGUGUAGCGGUGAAAUGCGUAGAUAUCAGGAGGAACACCGGUGGCGAAGGCGGCUUACUGGACCAUAACUGACGUUGAGGCUCGAAAGCGUGGGGAGCAAACAGGAUUAGAUACCCUGGUAGUC
rnacentral:rRNA from 1 species